AGCAGCAGCUGCCACACUCUUCAGAUAUCUCUCUAUUUAAAGUUCAAAGAGGUGCAGGAUAACAAUAAGGAAGAAAGACUCCUGGCCCUGACUAAGCCACCCAACAAUAGAAAUAAUGGCUGAGAAAGCAGAGUCAACAUCACCACACCUCAUAGUUCCCAUUCUUCUCCUGGUUGGAUGGAUUGUAGGCUGCAUCAUCGUUAUUUACAUUGUCUUCUUCUAGAAAGGGAAGAAGACUUCAAUCUGACACCAUUUAGAAGAAUAAAAAUACAGGAAUAUAACUGAUUAUUAAAGGUGUCUUGUAUUAAAGACAGGAGGAAUAAGAAGAGGAGGAGGAGGAGAAGGAGAAAGAGGAUGAGAAGGAGGAAGAAGAAGAAAAAGAAGAAGAAGAAGAAGAAGAAGAAGAAGAAGAAGAAGAAGAAGAAGAAGAAG
rnacentral:lncRNA from 1 species